rnacentral:rRNA from 1 species
UGGGGAAUUGUUCGCAAUGGGCGAAAGCCUGACGACGCAACGCCGCGUGGAGGAUGAAGGUCUUCGGAUUGUAAACUCCUGUUGCCCGGGACGAAAUGCUUCAACCUAAUACGUUGAAGUUUGACGGUACAUGCAGAAGAAGGACCGGCCAACUACGUGCCAGCAGCCGCGGUAAUACGUAGGGUCCGAGCGUUGUCCGGAUUUAUUGGGCGUAAAGAGCUCGUAGGCGGCUCAGUAAGUCGGAUGUGAAAACUCGGGGCUCAACCCCGAGACGCCAUCCGAUACUGCUGUGGCUUGAAUCUGGUAGGGGAGAUCGGAAUUCCUGGUGUAGCGGUGAAAUGCGCAGAUAUCAGGAGGAACACCGGUGGCGAAGGCGGAUCUCUGGGCCAGUAUUGACGCUGAGGAGCGAAAGCGUGGGUAGCAAA